rnacentral:rRNA from 1 species
CCUACGGGUGGCUGCAGUGAGGAAUAUUGGUCAAUGGCCGGAAGGCUGAACCAGCCAUGCCGCGUGAAGGUCAGUGCCCUAUGGGCGUUAAACUUCUUUUGUUCGGGAGCAAUAAUGGUCACGUGUGGCCAGACGAGAGUACCGUACGAAUAAGCAUCGGCUAACUCCGUGCCAGCAGCCGCGGUAAUACGGGGGAUGCAAGCGUUAUCCGGAUUUACUGGGUGUAAAGGGGGCGCAGACGGCAGCGCAAGCCAGGAGGUAAAGCCCGGGGCCCAACCCCGGGACUGCCCGUGGAACUGCGCGGCUGGAGGGCAGGAGGGGCAGGCGGAAUUCCUGGUGUAGCGGUGAAAUGCGUAGAUAUCAGGAGGAACACCGGUGGCGAAGGCGGCCUGCUGGACUGCGACUGACGUUGAGGCCCGAAAGCGUGGGGAGCAAACAGGAUUAGAUACCCUAGUAGUC